GAAGGAGAGAGCGCGAGACAAGACGGGACAUCCUACAAAGCCUAACAUUUCUGCCAAUAUUACAGGAUGGACAGCUUAGGAUACCACACGGAGGGGGUGAAGGAGCCUUGGGGAUGCCUGAAGGAGGGGCAGUGAAGGAGGGUGGCCUGGAGGUGAAGGAAAUGCAGAAAAUUCCUCUAAUACUGAGCGCUUCUCUGGUCAGACCAUCCUUCACUGAAUAUUUGGACCGAGGCUUCAAGAUACGAGUGAGCCAGGCGACCCUCCAGAACAGCGCCAUCCUGCCUACUUGUGGUGUGACCUUUGACCAGCUGGUGGACAGGGUCCGCGCCUUUAGCCGAGUACACGCGGGGGGCGUUGUAAUACUGGUGGGUGCUGUGUUUGGCAUGGAGGAGGUGAACGGGGUGUUGGGGAAGUUAUCAAGGAGGUUACUACCACGCCCUCCCCUGCUACUGCCUGCCCACGGGGAAGCCCAGGCUGCCGCGCACAUACAACUACUGGCAAAGGCGGUGGUGGGGGGGCGGGAGGGCGUAGUCUGGAGGAGGCUGGCGGGGGUUAUGGAGGGGGUCCUGGCAUCCCCCGUCUCCCCCCAUUCCCUCGCUACCCCCAUUGGCCUCUCACCGGCACAAGUAGCGGCGGGGCUGGAAGUGGGCGGGAGUUUAGCAGGCUUCGCUAAGAUUGGGCUGGAAGUUAACGGAGGAGGAGGCGCGGCACGUGACUAUGCAAUAGAGGGCUUACAGAGGGCAGGCGUGACUGGGCCCUGCCUCGCCGCCCUUGUCAACACCUUAGAGAGAGAUACGCUCACCUUGUAGAGAGAGAGAGAGAGAGAGAGAGAGAGAGGAUAUAUUUUAAUUUUCUUUCGUUAUAUAUUCAAUUUAUUUAUUUAUUUAUUAUUUUAACGGUUAUUUUCUUUUCUCUUUUUCGUUUCGUUUUUUUUUUAUGGAAUGUUGAAUUUUACCUAUAUUUGUUUACAUUUUUUUUUAUCAAUUUCUUUCGAUUUUAUAUUCAGUUCAUUUAUUUAUCUUUAUUGUUUUAAGACCAUUUAUUUAUUUUAUUUAUUUUUUCGUUCAUUUUCAUAAUGGGAAUAUUUACUUUUAUAUAUAUUUUUCAAUUAUUUUUCAUUUCUUCGAUUUAAGUGUGUCUAAGUACUUGCAAGGAUCAUUUAUUUAUUUAUUUACUUUUAUUUUCCGUCCGUUUUUAUUUAUUUAUUUAUUUAUUUAUUUAUCUUUUUUUAUAAUGGAAACUUAUUUCAUCUUUUUUCCCGUUUUCUGUUACUUGUUCAUGCCAGGGGUGACAAUAAACAUUAAGAUUA